ensembl:lncRNA
AAUUGAUCAACAAAUUAAUUUGCGUACUACUAAGCUGUUUUUUCAACUCACAAUGGCGGAAGGAGAAGAUAUCGAUUUGGUCGAGGAUAUAAUUGUAACGCCAUUCUCAAGACAAACUUUUCAAGAAAAGUUAGACAUUGUCAGGAGAGGUAGACGCCGACGCUACAAAGCCUGUCACAGGCGGGAAAGGGGUUCGUUCGCCACUUUCAACUAUGAAUGACUCACAGGCUCCGAGAAGCACUGCAAACUGUACUGCUGGGAAUGCCUAUUAUUUGCAAGUGAUCGAUUUGGUGUUUGGAGCCACACUGGCUUUGCAAACCUGAGUUGUCUAACCAAGGCAGCAACGAGACAUCAAAGUACGGCUGGGCACUUACAAACAAUGGUGCUUUUGAAAACUUUUGGGGGACACCCGAGUGGAUCUACAGCUCAACGAACAAGCGCGCAGGGCAACGAAGCUGCACAAUGAAAAGGAGAAGUGAAGCUACUUCAAAGGGUACACAGAGAGGAACAUGCCAGUGUUCUGGUGGAAUGACUGAAGUGAAGAGAGAAAUGAGACUCGCUCUCAGAAGAGCCAGAGCUUUACGUUUCAAUGAGGACCCUUGUGACAUAGAAUGGACAAAGAUUUCAGACAGAGUAGAAAACAUCUUGAGGUCAUGUUGUUGUAAGAGAGACUUGCCUAGUUAAAUAAAGGUAAAAAGCUCUCUCUCAUUCAGCCAAGGCCUUUGCUUCAGAGAAGGACAGGGAGAAAGAGAGACAGACUGAUACUGUGGCUAUAUGCAUGUUCACACUAAAGUGAAGAACAAAGGUUAGAGGUAUCAACAGGCUAAGCAUUUGCUUUGGAGUGCGAUCCAAGUAAGGCUCUCUGUCCAGAGCCGUGUCCCAAAUGGCACCCUAUUUUACUAGACAGCCGACUCCUUUUGAUCAGGGCCCACACAGGGCUCUCGCCAACAGUGUUGCACUAUAUGGGGAAUAGGGUGCCAUUUGGGACGCAGGGUAUCUAUCCAGUUCAAUGUUGGAAUUGUUAAAAGGGGGAGAGGAAACAUGAAAGAAUCUGAAACCUCGGAGUAUAAAUACGAAUAUUUGUAAUGUUGUUUGUGCAUCACUUCUUCAUAGGAACAUAAUAACAUGUAUCUCAGGGGCGUAACGGAUGAUUGCACAUAAAACAGGUGGUAAUUAACUAGUUCCGACUCAAAGAAUAACCAUUACGUAUGUUCACACAAACAAAUGCAUGAAUUACUUGCCAUGAUAUAGAAUUAACAUGCUGUUAAUGAUAUAGAAGCAACAUGUUUCAUAAAGUAUAGUAAUGACAUGGGAAAUAAAGUAUCUCUACACCCCUGAAGGGCCGAUUAAAUUGAAAUCAGAUCAAGUUAAUUAUAGUGUGUACAUGCACCAUGAUAAUAGCUGUGUUGUAUAUAUUAUCAUUAUUAUAUUGUGCACAUAGAAUGAAUAAAUGAUUUGCUUGUUCA